rnacentral:rRNA from 1 species
AACGCUGGCGGCGUGCAUAAUACAUGCUAAGUAGAACGCUGUAGCUUGGUGCUUGCACCGAGCGGAUGAGUUGCGACGGGUGAGUAACGCGUAGGUAACCUGCCUCUUAGCGGGGGAUAACUAUUGGAAACGAUAGCUAAUACCGCAUAAAAGUCGAUAUCGCAUGAUAUUGAUUUGAAAGGUGCAAUUGCAUCACUAAGAGAUGGACCUGCGUUGUACUAGCUAGUUGGUGAGGUAACGGCUCACCAAGGCGACGAUACAUAGCCGACCUGAGAGGGUGAUCGGCCACACUGGGACUGAGACACGGCCCAGACUCCUACGGGAGGCAGCAGUAGGGAAUCUUCGGCAAUGGGGGCAACCCUGACCGAGCAACGCCGCGUGAGUGAAGAAGGUUUUCGGAUCGUAAAGCUCUGUUGUAAGAGAAGAACGAGCUGUUGAGAGUGGAAAGUUCACAACUGUGACGGUACUUACCGGAAAGG